UACGGAGGGGGUUAGCGUUGUUCGGAAUUACUGGGCGUAAAGCGCACGUAGGCGGAUUGACAAGUUGGGGGUGAAAUCCCGGGGCUCAACCCCGGAACUGCCUCCAAAACUGUCAGUCUUGAGUUCGAGAGAGGUGAGUGGAAUUCCGAGUGUAGAGGUGAAAUUCGUAGAUAUUCGGAGGAACACCAGUGGCGAAGGCGGCUCACUGGACGCGUAUUGACGCUGAGGUACGAAAGCGUGGGGAGCAAACAGG
rnacentral:rRNA from 1 species